GCUGGGACGAUAAGGGGGUGU
rnacentral:miRNA from 17 species